rnacentral:rRNA from 1 species
GAUGAACGCUAGCGGGAGGCUUAAUACAUGCAAGUCGAACGGUAACAGGUCGAACCUAGUUUGAUGCUGACGAGUGGCGCACGGGUGAGUAACGCGUACGCGACCUACCUAUAGCUGGGGGAUAGCCCUGGGAAACUGGGAAUAAUACCCCAUAAUAUCAUAAUGCUACAUGGUAUAAUGAUUAAAGUGUUAGCGGCUAUAGAUGGGCGUGCGUGCUAUUAGGUAGUUGGUGAGGUAACGGCUCACCAAGCCGACGAUAGCUAGGGGGCGUGAGAGCGUGAUCCCCCACACGGGUACUGAGACACGGACCCGACUCCUACGGGAGGCAGCAGUAAGGAAUAUUGGACAAUGGGGGCAACCCUGAUCCAGCCAUCCCGCGUGCAGGAUGACGGCCCUACGGGUUGUAAACUGCUUUUACCAGGGAAGAAUGGCCUUCAUUUAUGGAGGUAUGACGGUACCUGGGGAAUAAGCACCGGCUAACUCCG